rnacentral:rRNA from 1 species
CGCUCCUUGAUUUUAAUUGAUAAGGAGUCGGACCUGCCCAGUGAUAAGNUAUUUAACGGCCGCGGUACUCUGACCGUGCAAAGGUAGCAUAAUCAUUUGCCCUAUAAUUGAGGGCUAGUAUGAAUGGUUUGACAAGAACAAUACUGUCUCUUUCAAAANUUUCUAGAAUUUAUUCUUUAGGUGAAGAAACCUAAAUAAAAUUAAAAGACAAGAAGACCCUAUCGAGCUUAAACUCUUUUUAUAAAAUAAAAAAAANUUAAUAAUAUUUUUUGUUAUAAAAAAUUUUGGUUGGGGCGACUAAGGAACAAAAAAAGCUUCUUUAUUUAAUAAAGACAAAUAUGUAUUGAUCCAUAAAANUCUUGAUUAAAAGAAUUAGUUACCGUAGGGAUAACAGCAUAAUCUUUUUUAAGAGUUCUUAUCGAAAAAAAGGUUUGUGACCUCGAUGUUGGACUAAAAUUUCCUAAUAGAUGCAGACGUCUUUAAGGG